rnacentral:rRNA from 1 species
GACGAACGCUGGCGGCGUGCCUAAUACAUGCAAGUAGAACGCUGAAGGAGGAGCUUGCUUCUCUGGAUGAGUUGCGAACGGGUGAGUAACGCGUAGGUAACCUGCCUGGUAGCGGGGGAUAACUAUUGGAAACGAUAGCUAAUACCGCAUAAUAGUAGAUGUUGCAUGACAUUUGCCUAAAAGGUGCAAUUGCAUCACUACCAGAUGGACCUGCGUUGUAUUAGCUAGUUGGUGGGGUAACGGCUCACCAAGGCGACGAUACAUAGCCGACCUGGGAGGGUGAUCGGCCACACUGGGACUGGGACACGGCCCAGACUCCUACGGGAGGCAGCAGUAGGGGAUCUUCGGCAAUGGACGGAAGUCUGACUGAGCAACGCCGCGUGAGUGAAGAAGGGUUUCGGAUCGGAAAGCUCUGUUGUAAGGGAAGAACGAGUGUGAGAGUGGAAAGUUCACACUGUGACGGUAUCUUACCAGAAAGGGACGGCUAACUACGUG